CAGCCGCCGCGGUAAUACGAAGGGGGCUAGCGUUGUUCGGAAUGACUGGGCAUAAAGGGCGCGUAGGCGGCGGCCAAAGUCAGGCGUGAAAUUCCCGGGCUCAACCUGGGGGCUGCGUUUGAUACUUGGUUCCUUGAGUGGGGAAGAGGGUCGUGGAAUUCCCAGUGUAGAGGUGAAAUUCGUAGAUAUUGGGAAGAACACCGGUGGCGAAGGCGGCAACCUGGUCCUUGACUGACGCUGAGGCGCGAAAGCGUGGGGAGCAAACAGGAUUAGAGACCCCCGUAGUCCCUGUCUCUUAUAC
rnacentral:rRNA from 1 species